rnacentral:lncRNA from 1 species
AAAGCCCCGAGGGCGACGCCUCCCCCCGGAACACGGUGUCAGCGGUGCCCGGGUGGCAGCGAUGUCCCCUCCGCGCUGGGGAUGCGGGGACGUGGGGGGGGGGAUGCGGAGGUGGGCGCUGGGGCGCAGAGGUGGCAGUGCUGGACCUUGGGCGCGGGGGCAUGGAUGUAGGGGUCCCUUCUGUGCCCAGAAAAUGACACCAAAAUCCUCUUGGUUUUGGGGACGAAGACGUGGGGACGUGGACACUGGGUCCCUUGGCCAUGGGGUCAUGGUCAUGGGGGACAUGGACAUUGGGGUCCCUUCUGUCCCCCCUAGGUGACACCGAGGUCCUCUUGGCCCUGGGGACAAGGACACUGGGUCCCUUGGCCAUGGGGGUCCCAUCUGUCCCCAGAAAGUGACACCAAAAUCCCCUUGGUGUUGGGGAGAAGGACAUGGGGACAUGGGUGCUGGGUCCUCUUGGCCAUGGGGUCAUGGUCGUGGGGGACAUGGACAUUGGGGUCCCUUCUGUCCCCAUAGGUGACACCGAGGUCCCUGUGGCACUGGGGACAUGGACACUGGGUCCCUCAGCCAUGGGGUCAUGGACAUGGGGGACAUGGGGGUCCCAUCUGUACCCAAAAAGUGACACCAAAAUCCGCUUGGUGUUGGGGACGAGGACGUGGGGAUGUGCACACUGGGUCCCUUGGCCACGGGGGUCCCAUCUGUGCCCAAAAAGUGACACCGAAAUCUGCUUGGUGUUGGGGACAAGGACGUGGGGACGUGGGCACUGGCUCCUCUUGGCCAUGGGGGUCAUGGACUUGGGGGUCCCUUCUGUCCCCCCAGAAGUGACACCGAGUUCCCCUUGGCCCUGGGGACGUGGACACUGGGUCCUCUUGGCCAUAGGGACAUGGACAUGGGGACAUGGACACGGGGGUCCCUUCUGUCCCCAUAGGUGACACCGAGGUCCCCAUGGCGCUGGGGGUAUGGACACUGGGUCCCUUGGCCAUGAGGUCAUGGACAUGGGGGACAUGGGGGUCCCAUCUGUCCCCAAAAAGUGACACCAAAAUCCCCUUGAUGUUGGGGACGAGGACAUGGGGACGUGGACACUGGGUCCCUCAGCUGUGGGGUCAAGGACACUGGGGACAUGGUCGUGGGGGACAUGGACAGGGGGGUCCCUUCUGUCUGCCCUGGGGACAUGGACACUGGGUCC